CUGGUGAUUCAUAAUAACUUAACGAAUCGCAUUGGCCUUGUGCGGGCGAUGGUUCAUUCAAAUUUCUGCCCUAUCAACUUUCGAUUGUAGAGUAGUGGUCUACAAUGGUUUCAACGGGUAACGGGGAAUUAGGGUUCUAUUCCGGAGAGGGAGCCUGAGAAACGGUACCACAUCCAAGGAAGGCAGCAGGCGCGCAAAUUACCCAAUCCCGACACGGGGAGGUAGUGACAAUAAAUACUGAUACAGGGCUCUUUUGGGUCUUGUAAUUGGAAUGAGUACAAUUUAAAUCCCUUAACGAGGAACAAUUGGAGGGCAAGUCUGGUGCCAGCAGCCGCGGUAAUUCCAGCUCCAAUAGCGUAUAUUAAAGUUGUUGCAGUUAAAAAGCUCGUAGUUGAACCUUGGGCCUGGCUGGCCGGUCCGCCUCACCGCGUGCACUGGUCCGGCCGGGUCUUUCCUUCUGAGGAGCCGCAUGCCCUUCACUGGGUGUGUCGGGGAAUCAGGACUUUUACUUUGAAAAAAUUAGAGUGUUCAAAGCAGGCCUAUGCUCGAAUACAUUAGCAUGGAAUAAUAGAAUAGGACGUGUGGUUCUAUUUUGUUGGUUUCUAGGACCGCCGUAAUGAUUAAUAGGGACGGUCGGGGGCAUCAGUAUUCAGUUGCUAGAGGGUGAAC
rnacentral:rRNA from 1 species